rnacentral:rRNA from 1 species
AGGGUUUGAUCAUGGCUCAGAAUGAACGCUGGCGGCGUGCUUUACACAUGCAAGUCGAGCGAGGCGGCCCGCAAGGGCCAGUCGAGCGGCGAACGGGUGAGUAACACGUGGAUCAUCUGCCCAGAGGUGGGGGAUAACCCGGGGAAACUCGGGCUAAUACCGCAUAUGACCGGAAGGUCAAAGGGGGGUCGCAAGAUCUCUCGCCAUUGGAGGAGUCCGCGUCCGAUUAGCUAGUUGGUAGGGUAAUGGCCUACCAAGGCGACGAUCGGUAGCCGGCCUGAGAGGGUGAUCGGCCACACUGGAACUGAGACACGGUCCAGACUCCUACGGGAGGCAGCAGUGGGGAAUUUUGCGCAAUGGGCUAACGCCUGACGCAGCAACGCCGCGUGGAGGAUGAAGGUCUUUGGAUUGUAAACUCCUGUCAGCAGGGAAAAAGCGACUCGGACUCAUACUCCGGGGAGUUGAUUGUACCUGCAGAGGAAGCCCCGGCUAACUCUGUGCCAGCAGCCGCGGUAAUACAGAGGGGGCAAGCGUUAUUCGGAAUUAUUGGGCGUAAAGGGCGCGUAGGCGGCCUGGCAAGUGGAAGGUGAAAUCCCUCGGCUUAACCGAGGAACUGCCUUCCAUACUGCUUGGCUUGAGACCAGGAGAGGUGAGUGGAAUUCCCAGUGUAGCGGUGAAAUGCGUAGAUAUUGGGAGGAACACCAGUGGCGAAAGCGGCUCACUGGACUGGUACUGACGCUGAGGCGCGAAAGCGUGGGGAGCAAACGGGAUUAGAUACCCCGGGUAGUCCACGCCGUAAAC